GUACUCACUGGUCCCCAACAGAAGAACAGCUGCUGCAUCCACUGAGGGCCUCAGUGCAUGGGCGCUGUCCAACCUCUGGUGCUGAAGCAGCCAAGAGACGCAAGCCUGCGUGGCUGCCUCUUAGGAUAUGACAGCACAGCCACUGGCCUCUACUGAAUCCUAUGCAACCUCAGAAGACACCCAGGAGUGAUGCCAUCAUGUGGUGCAAGAGUUCUGAGGGACCACAAUCCUGAAGACAUUGAAUGGCUGUGUUCCUGCUCAUUGCUGGAGGUACUGUCAGGGUCCCUGUCCUCAACCCCUGGUCUGACACUUGCAGAUCAGGCAGGACAUUCUGGAGGAAUCAUGCCCUUGGAAGGAUCCCUGAGGAGUGACUGUUGUUAGAUUAAAAAACAGUGGCAAAGAGCAAUACAGAGAGUUGCCAAAAUUCACACCGCUGGUCCAGGUUUGAAGCAAGCAGUCUGUACCUGCAGUCCUUGUCUGUAACCAUGGCACCCUGGCUUCUCACACAUCUCAUCGUGGAGUUCCACCAUGUGUCAGGCAUGGCACUGAGCACCUUCUUUUAAGAAUAUAAUUUGUAAUUAUGUAGAUUAUUAAUUCUACUUCAAAAUGCCACACAGCCUUCAUGUGAUAAAAUGAAACAAUUGCUCAACUGAUCUCCUGGGAUCUCUACUAAGAUGUUGGCAGCCCGGCCAGCUGGUCUGGCCCUGGACGUGCCUUCAUGGUCUGGUUAUGCUUCAUGACCUGCACUGUGGUCAGUGACUCUGAUCACAGUGAAACGUUCCAUGGGAACUUGGGCCAUGAGAAACAUCCUUCCUAACCACGUGACUGCAGAAACAUCCUUAUCGCGUCCUCCUGGGCAAAGGCCCAACAGCCUGACUGCAGGGACAUCCUUGCCAUAUCCUGCUGGGCAGCAAGCUCUACCACCCAGAUCCCUCCCUCCCAGUCCCAUGAUUACCCCAGCCUGUGAGUGGCAGUUGGUGCUGGCACUAAGCUGGUUUCCUCCUCCCCAGGGUUUUGCUGGCAAUAAAGAUGUUGCUGUUGAAGCCACCAA
rnacentral:lncRNA from 1 species